UCAUAACCCACAAAGCAUCCUAAGUAGGACUCAUAGCCAAUUUCUCAGCAGAAACCAUGUUGGCACUGGGGUGACAUAUUCUAACUGCCAAAGGACUAAAAUCUAUUAUCCAAGAAUUCAAAAUAUGGCAAAACUUACUUUCAAGGAUGAAAGAGAAAUGAAAUCAUUUCCAGGUAAACAAAAGAUGGAGAUUUUAAUAGUUGGCUUGUCCUGUAAGAAAUGCUAAAGGAAAUUCUUAAGGCUUCAAUAAAUGGACACAAGACAGUUACUUGAAGUCAUAUGAAGAAAUAGAGAAUGCAGCUGAAGAUAAUUACACAGGUUCUCUCUGGCUGCAGGGACGUGAGGUGCUGAGAAGACAUACCCUGGAGGAGCUCAGAGUUCAGAGGCGACUCACUUUUAUCCUCCAAAAUGGUGGUUCACCCCAUUUGUGGGGGAGAUGUCAUCAUCAUUACCUCCUUCUUAUUUGUAACGAAACACUUCAGUGCCUGGCAGAGGGCUCGUCCUCACCCAGUACUUGCAGCCUUCUAGUAACUUGGUCCAGAGAGUUCCUAGAACAACCACUUACCUGGAGAUUUCAGACACGGAAGCUCCAGCAGGUGGUGAAGGUGGGAAAGCAUCGGUCCCGGCCCCCGAAGUCUGCCGCUUGGCGCACAUUGUGGGAUGUCAG